UUAUCAACUUAAUUGUUAAGAGGUGUGCAAAUUUUGAGUUAAAAUCAAUGGUUCAUUUAUUAGUCAUUGAGGUUUAAAUCUGCUAUAGAAAUUACUUGGAAUUAUUUAGGAUUUGUUUAGGAUUUAUUUAGGUUUUGUUAAAUUUUUUUUAAGAUUUGAUUAGGAUUUGAUUAAGAUUUUUUUAGGAUUUGAUUAAGAUUCUUUUAGGAUUUGAUUAGAAUUUG
rnacentral:lncRNA from 1 species